rnacentral:rRNA from 1 species
AACGAACGCUGGCGGCAUGCCUAACACAUGCAAGUCGAACGGGACGUCCGGGCUUUUGGGGGCUGCGCUGGUUGCGAACUGGUGAGUAACACGUGGGUAACCUACACUUCACUGUGGGAGAACUUCAUGCAGGUGGGGGUAAUACCGCAUAAGAUCUACUGCUUUUGGAUGGGGGCGCGUUGGAUUCGCUGGUUGGUAGGGUAAUAGCCUAUCAACGCGACGAUGCAUAGCUGGUCUGUGAGGAGGAUCAGCCACACUGGGACUGAGACACGGCCCAGACUCCGACGGGAGGGAGCGGAGGGGAAUAUUGGGCAAUGGGCGAAAGCCUGAUCCAGCAAUGCCGCGUGAGUGAUGAAGGCCUUAGGGUUGUAAAUCUCUUUUACCCGGGAUGAUAAUGACAGUACCGGGAGAAUAAGCUCCGGCUAACUCCGUG